rnacentral:rRNA from 1 species
GAAUCUUGCGCAAUGCGCGAAAGCGUGACGCAGCAACGCCGCGUGAGGGAAGACGGCCUUCGGGUUGUAAACCUCUUUCAGGAGGGACGAAGGUUCGGCGGUUAACAGCCGUCCGGACUGACGGUACCUCCAGAAGAAGCUCCGGCUAACUACGUGCCAGCCGCCGCGGUAAUACGUAGGGAGCAAGCGUUGUCCGGAAUCAUUGGGCGUAAAGCGCGCGUAGGCGGCCUCAUAAGUCCGUUGUGAAAGUCAAAGGCUCAACCUUUGAAAGCCGAUGGAUACUGUGAGGCUAGAGUCCGGAAGAGGCGAGUGGAAUUCCUGGUGUAGCGGUGGAAUGCGCAGAUAUCAGGAGGAACACCAAUAGCGAAGGCAGCUCGCUCGGACGGUACUGACGCUAAGGCGCGAAAGCGUGGGGAGCGAACAG